rnacentral:rRNA from 1 species
UACGUAGGCAGCAAGCGUUGUUCGGAGUUACUGGGCGUAAAGGGUGCGUAGGCGGCUUCUUAAGUCUGGUGUGAAAUCUCCCGGCUCAACUGGGAGGGUGCGCCGGAUACUGAGGGGCUAGAGUGUGGGAGAGGAAAGUGGAAUUCCAGGUGUAGCGGUGAAAUGCGUAGAUAUCUGGAGGAACACCGGUGGUGUAAACGGCUUUCUGGACCAUUACUGGCGCUGAUGCACGAAAGCGUGGGUAGCAAACAGG